AUUAAAGGGCAGGUACUGAGGUGAAAGGCAGGUGGGUACCAAAUCACGUGGGUCUUUUAAGCCAUGGUAACGGGUUUGCUCUAAACACAAUUCCUAGGAAUUCCUACGAGGGGUCACUCCUUAGAGAUGUGUGGAUCGAAUUUAAGGGCCUUUUAUGAUUCAAAUGUUUGUUCCCUCUGAACCUCAGGUUGUGACUUAAUCCCUCAUGUGACAGCAAUAACAGAUGUUAUGCCACAGGACAAGGCCCUUACCAGAAGCCAACCAGAUAUGGCCCAUUGAUCUUGGACUUUCCAGCCUCCAGGCUGUGACUUUGUCAUCAAAAGAAAUCAGAGAUAUUUUCAUGGCACUUUAUAGUUGUUGCGGACAUCUCAACAUUUAUGUUAUCAUCACCACCACUCUCUAGUUACUCGUGCCCCAGAGCAAGGCAUUAGUGACUUAAUUCCUUCAUCAUUGAAGCAGAGCUUCAGAUGGGAUCCUCUGUGUGGUGAAUUUUGUGGUGGGCCACCAAAAGACCCCUGCAGGAAUGGAGAAUUGAUUUCCCCAUCUGCUGGGUGUGCUGCAGGAAGAUGACCUUUGCUCACAUUGACUUUGGGUUGCUUCAGCUAAAGAAAAUUGCCUAACUCAGAUUAAAGGUUUUCCAGGGUCAGGCCAUAUCCAG
rnacentral:lncRNA from 1 species